rnacentral:rRNA from 1 species
CCGUUGGUGACAGCGGAG